AGCUUUUCGAAUCCGUGCUGAGAUUUCGUCGGACAAUAACCCAUUAUGGCUGUUCAGACUUCUGAGAUAAGUGAAGUU
rnacentral:pre_miRNA from 1 species